rnacentral:rRNA from 1 species
AGUGAACGCUGGCGGUAGGCCUAACACAUGCGAGUCGAACGGCAGCACAGUAAGAGCUUGCUCUUACGGGUGGCGAGUGGCGGACGGGUGAGGAAUACAUCGGAAUCUACUUUUUCGUGGGGGAUAACGUAGGGAAACUUACGCUAAUACCGCAUACGACCUACGGGUGAAAGCAGGGGAUCUUCGGACCUUGCGCAAUUGAAUGAGCCGAUGUCGGAUUAGCUAGUUGGCGGGGUAAAGGCCCACCAAGGCGACGAUCCGUAGCUGGUCUGAGAGGAUGAUCAGCCACACUGGAACUGAGACACGGUCCAGACUCCUACGGGAGGCAGCAGUGGGGAAUAUUGGACAAUGGGCGCAAGCCUGAUCCAGCCAUACCGCGUGGGUGAAGAAGGCCUUCGGGUUGUAAAGCCCUUUUGUUGGGAAAGAAAAGCAGCAGGUUAAUACCCCGCUGUUCUGACGGUACCCAAAGAAUAAGCACCGGCUAACUUCGUG